rnacentral:lncRNA from 1 species
UUGGCAGUUUCCACUUGAGACCACUUAUCAGUAACUCAACACACUCCAUAAGCUUCAACUUUGACUAGUAUAGAUUAGCCUAUGACGCUUGACGUGUUACUGCAAUUAAGGUCUUCAAAUAAUCUGCCAAAACCUGAACUGAUGCUUGCUUGAAACUCUUUAGGAACUUGAAUCUUUUUCCUCAAACCAGAAGCUCCUUGAUUCAAAACUUUUGAAACCAAUCUCAACAGCCAGUAGACACCAACUGCUUAACCUGCGAUUUUCCUUACAACAACUUGAAUGAACACACUGACUUGAACACCACUCUGCACCGCUGCUGUUGCCAACAGAACACGCCGCUUAACACAACACGGUUAAGAAGACUUUCGAUACAAGAUCUCUGCUCAAACUCUGCCCAAACAAAUCAUUGCAACCCUGCAACCUGAAUCCUCUGUAGACCCAUUUGAUUCACCUCAAAAAGCACCUGAUAUCAGAAUCAAAAAUACUACUGACAUCUCUUGCAGAAAACCAGAAACAUAUAAGUUUCCUCCCUGAUUCAACUAGCCUUCUGUCUAGCCAAGUCAGCCUUGAAACCUGAACUUGAACCGAUGUUGAAACUCAACAAAUCACGCCCCAUAGCUCCACCUUGUUGUGAGUACUUCCGACCCUACUUCCCUUUCCAAUUCCUUGAGCAAACAAGACAGUACCAGUAGCUCGAAAAACAAUUUGUGUACUCUUUAACCGUAUCUCUCAUCAUAAGAACCUGAGAUACUCAAGAGAUACUUUCUUUACAGCUUCUUUCACAUCAAUAUCGAGCCCAUGAUGUGUUUCCCCUGCUGUGCCAGACCUGCAACACAUUUAAUAGUGUGUAAACUCCACCAAAAAAUUUGGUACUUGCAUCAUAGAUCUUCUCACAGCUGAACCGAAGACUCUUCUUGGCUCAACAACUUUUCCUCUAGUGUUCUUCACACUUAGGCUCCACACUUGUUAAUCCUGCAAGUGUCUUUCUUACUGAGAAGAUUUCCACUUCCUCCUGAUGCACACAUACAAAUUAGCACUUCUCAAGUUGCUGUCUCAGAAACCAGUUCAUAACAUGUUUCUUCUUCAGCCUUCUCUAGGACUUCAAACCAGUUGCACAUGCUGUGAAAAGCCUUGUCUUUAUGCUGUUUUCACACGCCACAUUAUACCUUCUGAAGUGAUUUACUUUGAGAAACUUCAGCAAGCCCUAGCUUCUCUUAAUUCUCGUUAGAGAAAAAAAUACCAAGAUCACUUCUAUAUACUUCAUCUCAGACAUUCACAAAACCUGCAUGCAACUUUCUAUUGUUUCAGCAACCUUGACUUCUUGUAGUUUUAGAGCCUGCUCACAUUUGAUUUAUGCCAAAGCUCAGACUGAUAUUCAUCAAUCUUCACCUUAUACCAUAGAUCAAAACACCUUUGAUUUCUU